UCGAACGCGAAAGUCCCCUUCGGGGGACAAGUAGAGUGGCGCACGGGUGAGUAACACGUAGGUAAUCUACCUUCGGGUGGGGAAUAACAAUCGGAAACGGUUGCUAAUACCGCAUAAUGCAGCGGCACCUAAUGGUGACAGUUGUUAAAGCGGGGGAUCGAAAGAUCUCGCGCCUGAAGAGGAGCCUGCGGCGGAUUAGCUAGUUGGUAGGGUAAUGGCCUACCAAGGCGACGAUCCGUAGCCGGCCUGAGAGGGCGGUCGGCCACACUGACACUGACAUACGGGUCAGACUCCUACGGGAGGCAGCAGUCGGGAAUUUUGGGCAAUGGGCGAAAGCCUGACCCAGCAACGCCGCGUGAAGGAUGAAAUCCCUCGGGAUGUAGACUUCGCAAGAACGGGAAGAAUUAGUGGAAGUUAAUACCUUCCAUGAUGACGGUACCGUUUGUAAGCUCCGGCUAACUCCGUGCCAGCAGCCGCGGUAAUACGGGGGGAGCAAGCGUUGUUCGGAUUUACUGGGCGUAAAGGGCGCGUAGGCGGCCUCCGCAAGUCAGUUGUGAAAUCUCCGAGCUUAACUCGGAAAGGUCAACUGAUACUGCGGGGCUAGAGUGCGGAAGGGGCAACUGGAAUUCUUGGUGUAGCGGUGAAAUGCGUAGAUAUCAAGAGGAACACCUGCGGCGAAGGCGGGUUGCUGGGCCGACACUGACGCUGAGGCGCGAAAGCUAGGGGAGCGAACGGGAUUAGAUACCCCGGUAGUCCUAGCCUUAAACGAUGAAUGCUUGGUGU
rnacentral:rRNA from 1 species